AAAAUUAAAAGGACGCGGUAACCUUGACCGUGAUAAUGUAGCAUAAUCAUUCGCCAUUUAAUUGAUGGAUAGUAUGAAUGGUUGAACGAAUAUUCCACUGUCUUAAAAAGAAAUACCAAAAAAUUAGAAUAAUAGUAAAGAUUCUAUUUAAAAUUGUAAGACGAAAAGACCCUAUAGAGCUUGACUAUAAAUUUUCUUUAUAACACAUUUAAAAAAGGAAGUCUGGUAGUUUAGUUGGGGCGACUGUCUUUUAAAAAUAACAAAGACAAGCAAAAAUUAAUAUUAAAAUUUAUUGUAUAAUUAAUAAAUUUAACAAUUACAAAAGUAGGCUAUAAUGACCCGUUAUUAUUAAAUAAGAAAAAUAACGAUCAAUAAAUAAAAGCUACCUUAGGGAUAACAGGAUAAUUUUAUUUUAGAGAUCUAAUCGAAAAUAAAGUUUGUCACCUCUAUGUUGAAUUAAGA
rnacentral:rRNA from 1 species